UACGUAGGGUGCAAGCGUUGUCCGGAAUUAUUUGGGCGUAAAGAGCUCGUAGGCGGUCUGUCGCGUCUGCUGUGAAAACUCGGGGCUUAACCCCGGGCCUGCAGUGGGUACGGGGCAGACUAGAGUGCGGUAGGGGGAGACUGGAAUUCCUGGUGUAGCGGUGAAAUGCGCAGAUAUCAGGAGGAACACCGGUGGCGAAGGCGGGUCUCUGGGCCGUAACUGACGCUGAGGAGCGAAAGCGUGGGGAGCGAACAGG
rnacentral:rRNA from 1 species